UACGUAGGGUGCAAGCGUUGUCCGGAAUUAUUGGGCGUAAAGAGCUCGUAGGCGGUUCGUCGCGUCGGCUGUGAAAACCCGGAGCUCAACUCCGGGCCUGCAGUCGAUACGGGCGGACUGGAGUGUUGCAGGGGAGACUGGAAUUCCUGGUGUAGCGGUGAAAUGCGCAGAUAUCAGGAGGAACACCGGUGGCGAAGGCGGGUCUCUGGGCCGAUACUGACGCUGAGGAGCGAAAGCGUGGGGAGCGAACAGG
rnacentral:rRNA from 1 species